CCCUAGUAACGGCGAGUGAAGCGGCAACAGCUCAAAUUUGAAAUCUGGCUCCCUAGGGGGUCCGAGUUGUAAUUUGCAGAGGAUGCCUCGGGUGCGGGUUCCUUCCGAGUUCCCUGGAACGGGACGCCAUAGAGGGUGAGAGCCCCGUCUGGUCGGAUACCCAGCCCGUGUGAGGCUCCCUCGACGAGUCGAGUAGUUUGGGAAUGCUGCUCUAAGGGGAGGUAUACUCCUUCCAAGGCUAAAUACCGGCUAGAGACCGAUAGCGCACAAGUAGAGUGAUCGAAAGAUGAAAAGCACUUUGAAAAGAGAGUCAAAUAGCACGUGAAAUUGUUGAAAGGGAAGCGCUUGCUACCAGACUUGGGUUCGGCGGUUCAACCGGCGCCACGCGCCGGGGCACUCCGCCGGCCCAGGCCAGCAUCAGCUCUCCGUCGGGGGCAAAGACGCCGGGAAUGUAGCUCCCCCCCGGGGGAGUGUUAUAGCCCGGCGUGUCAUACCCUUCGGGGGGCUGAGGUCCGCGCUCCGCAAGGAU
rnacentral:rRNA from 2 species